GUGCAGCAGUCGAGAAACCUCCGCAAUGCGGGAAACCGCGACGGGGGACCCCGAGUGCCGUGGCAACGCCACGGCUUUUCCGGAGUGUAAAAAGCUCCGGGAAUAAGGGCUGGGCAAGGCCGGUGGCAGCCGCCGCGGUAAUACCGGCGGCCCGAGUGGUGGCCGCUAUUAUUGGGCCUAAAGCGUCCGUAGCCGGGCCCGUAAGUCCCUGGCGAAAUCCCACGGCUCAACCGUGGGGCUUGCUGGGGAUACUGCGGGUCUUGGGACCGGGAGAGGCGGGGGGUACCCCUGGGGUAGGGGUGAAAUCCUAUAAUCCCAGGGGGACCGCCAGUGGCGAAGGCGCCCCGCUGGAACGGGUCCGACGGUGAGGGACGAAGGCCAGGGGAGCAAACCGGAUUAGAUACCCGCGUAGU
rnacentral:rRNA from 1 species